rnacentral:rRNA from 1 species
UGGCGGACGGGUGAGUAACGCGUGGGUAACCUGCCUCAUACAGGGGGGUAACAGUUAGAAAUGACUGCUAAUACCGCAUAAGACCACAGCACCGCAUGGUGCAGGGGCAAAAACUCCGGUGGUAUGAGAUGGACCCGCGUCUGAUUAGGUAGUUGGUGGGGUAACGGCCUACCAAGCCGACGAUCAGUAGCCGACCUGAGAGGGUGACCGGCCACAUUGGGACUGAGACACGGCCCAA